rnacentral:rRNA from 1 species
CUACGGGAGGCAGCAGUCGCGAAAACUUCGCAAUGGGGGAAACCCCGACGAGGGAAUUCCAAGUGCUAGCACUUUGUGUUAGCUGUUCUUCUGUCUAAAAAACAGGAGAAGUAAGGGGCGGGUAAGACGGGUGCCAGCCGCCGCGGUAAUACCCGCGCCCCGAGUGGUGGUCGAUAUUAUUGAGCCUAAAACGUCCGUAGCCGGUCUUCUAAAUCCUUGGGUAAAUCGGGCAGCUUAACUGUCCGAAUUCCGGGGAGACUGGGAGACUUGGGACCGGGAGAGGUCAGAGGUACUUCUGGGGUAGGGGUAAAAUCCUGUAAUCCUGGAAGGACCACCGGUGGCGAAGGCGUCUGACUAGAACGGAUCCGACGGUGAGGGACGAAGCCCUGGGGCGCAAACGGGAUUAGAAACCCUAGUAGUCC